UAGGGAAUCUUCCGCAAUGGGCGAAAGCCUGACGGAGCAACGCCGCGUGAGUGAUGAAGGUCUUCGGAUCGUAAAACUCUGUUAUUAGGGAAGAACAAAUGUGUAAGUAACUAUGCACGUCUUGACGGUACCUAAUCAGAAAGCCACGGCUAACUACGUGCCAGCAGCCGCGGUAAUACGUAGGUGGCAAGCGUUCUCCGGAAUUAUUGGGCGUAAAGCGCGCGUAGGCGGUUUUUUAAGUCUGAUGUGAAAGCCCACGGCUCAACCGUGGAGGGUCAUUGGAAACUGGAAAACUUGAGUGCAGAAGAGGAAAGUGGAAUUCCAUGUGUAGCGGUGAAAUGCGCAGAGAUAUGGAGGAACACCAGUGGCGAAGGCGACUUUCUGGUCUGUAACUGACGCUGAUGUGCGAAAGCGUGGGGAUCAAACAGG
rnacentral:rRNA from 1 species